rnacentral:rRNA from 1 species
ACGCACGCUGGCGGCGUGCUUAACCCCUGCACGUCGCACGGAAAGGCCCUGCUUUUGUGGGGUGCUCGAGUGGCGAACGGGUGAGUAACACGUGAGUAACCUGCCCUUGACUUUGGGAUAACUUCAGGAAACUGGGGCUAAUACCGGAUAGGAGCUCCUGCUGCAUGGUGGGGGUUGGAAAGUUUCGGCGGUUGGGGAUGGACUCGCGGCUUAUCAGCUUGUUGGUGGGGUAGUGGCUUACCAAGGCUUUGACGGGUAGCCGGCCUGAGAGGGUGACCGGCCACAUUGGGACUGAGAUACGGCCCAGACUCCUACGGGAGGCAGCAGUGGGGAAUAUAGCACAAUGGGCGGAAGCCUGAUGCAGCAACGCCGCGUGCGGGAUGACGGCCUUCGGGUUGUAAACCGCUUUCGCCUGUGACGAAGCGUGAGUGACGGUAAUGGGUAAAGAAGCACCGGCUAACUACGUG